CUUUUUAUUGAAUCUUUUCUUGAGGGGUGCCUAUGUAGCUCAGUCAGUUAAGUGUCUGCUUUCGGCUCAGGUCAUGAUCCCAGGGUCCUGGGAUCA